AGUCGUUUUCUUCUCUUCAUCCCGAGUUCCUCCAUCACUUGCAUCUCAAUCUCUGCGGCUCUUUGGAAUUUUGCCCUAAUUUUGCUCUCUUCAGCAUUUCAAGCCUAUAAGCCAUUUUCUUCUUUGCCUAGAAGUCGUUUUCUUCUCUGCCUAGAAGACGUUUUCUUCUCUGCCUAGAAGCGAUUUUCUUCUUUGCCUAGAAGCCGUUUUCUUCUCUGCCUAGAAGCCAUUUUUUCUCUUCCGCCCGAGUUUCCCCAUCGCUUGCAUCUCAAUCUCUACGGCUUUUUGGAAUUUUGCCCUAAUUUUGGUCUCUUUUCAGCAUUUCAAGCCUAGAAGCCGUUUUCUUCUCUUCCUCCCGAGCACCUCCAUCGCUUGCAUCUCAAUCUCUGCGGCUCUUUCAUUUUUUCUCGCAUUCGUCUCUCUCAAAAAUUUGAAUAAGGCCGACAGUGAGAGAGUAAACAAAUCUGAGGUCAAUGGAGAUAGACUAAAGGAGGCACAACAUAUUAAUAGAUCUCUCUCUGUUCUAGGGGAUGUCAUCUCUGCCCUUGCCCAAAAGAGUCCACAUGUCCUUUACAGGAAUAGUUAAGUAACAAAACUUCUUCAAGACUCACUUGGGGGGCAAAGUAAGACACUAAUGUUUGUUCACAUUAGCCCUGAACUGGAUGCUGAUGGAGAAACAAUUAGCACAGUUAAAUUUGCAGAGCGAUUUGCCACAGUAGAACUUGGUGCUGCUCGUGUAAACAAGGAUAGUGCAGAUGUGAAAAAGCUGA